AGUAUUUUGACUAUACAAAGGUAUUGAAAUAAGACUUUAAUUGAGUGCUAAGAGAAUGGAAUUUCAUAAAAUUUCUUUUUUAAUUUUUAAAAAUUGAAAUUAAUUUUAUAUGUGAAGAAACAAUAAUAAAAAUUAAGGACAAGAAGACCCUAAGAAUUUUAAAAAUUUCAAUAAAAUGCUGCAUUUUAUUGAAAUUUUUUAAUUGGGGCGAUUAUUAAAUAUUAAAAACUUUAAUUUUUUAAAAAAGAACCAAUAAUAUUGGUUAUUUGAAAAAAUACUCUAGGGAUAACAGCGUAAUAAUUUUUGAUAGUUCUUAUAGACAAAAUAGUUUGCGACCUCGAUGUUGGAUUAGGAUUCUUUUUUAAUGAAGAAGUUAAAAAAAGAAGUUUGUUCAACUUUUAAAAUCCU
rnacentral:rRNA from 1 species